GUUUCUAGAAAUACCAACCUUUAAUGCUUUUAUGACAGUGAGAAAGACAACCAAGCAUGUAAUUCCUGCAGAUUGCUCUUGUGGCUGACCUUCUCUGUUUUUUUUUCAACUGUUAGACUUUCUGUUGGGUCAUGGACAUGUAGCACUUUUUUGAAGAGCC